rnacentral:rRNA from 1 species
UACGUAGGUGGCAAGCGUUGUCCGGAAUUAUUGGGCGUAAAGCGCGCGCAGGCGGUCCUUUAAGUCUGAUGUGAAAGCCCACGGCUCAACCGUGGAGGGUCAUUGGAAACUGGGGGACUUGAGUGCAGAAGGGGAAAGCGGAAUUCCACGUGUAGAGGUGAAAUUCGUAGAUAUCGGGAGGAACACCAGUGGCGAAGGCGGCGACCUGGACGGACAUUGACGCUGAGACGCGAAAGCGUGGGGAGCAAACAGG